AAACCACUUAGUUGGUUUUGGAAAAACAUCAUGGUUGGGCUUAAAAUAAGUACGUAAACUAGGUAAAAUACGUACAUAGACAACGUAACAUACGUGCGGAAAACACGUCACUAAAAUCAAACACAAAAUAACC